UUGGACCUGAAAUCAGGAAAGAAGACCCGCUGAAUUUAAGCAUAUAACUAAGCGGAGGAAAAGAAACUAACAAGGAUUCCCUCAGUAACGGCGAGUGAAGCGGGAAGAGCUCAACUUGAAAAUCUCUGUCUCUUGUAAGGCAGCGAAUUGUAGUCUAUAGAUGUGAUUACCAGUAAAUUGUAAGGCAUAAUUCAUGUGGAAUCAUGAACCAUGGAGGGUGAUAGUCCCGUACUAUGGCUUUAGUAAUUUACAUACGGUGCGCAUUCGACGAGUCGGAUAUCUUGAGACUGAUGUCCUAAUGGGUGGUAAAUUCCAUCCAAAGCUAAAUAAAGGCGAGAGACCGAUAGCGAACAAGUACUGUGAAGGAAAGAUGAAAAGAACUUUGAAAAGAGAGUUAAAAAGUACCUGAAAUUGUUGAAAGGAAAGUGUAUGAAACUAGUGUUGCUUACUUGUACCUGUACUUGUAGGCAGGUCAGCAUGGAUUGAUUUCGUAAGAGACGGUUUUAAUGAAGGUAUGUGGCUUCGGCCAUUGUUAUAGCAUUAAUUACUUGUUAUGGAGUUGAUUGAGGUUGCUUGGUACCUUAUUAGGUAUGCUUGCCAUGGUUUUUAUGUAAAUUUAUUGCAUGCAAUGUUUAUAUGUAAAAGUUGUGAUUCUUGUAUAUUUGAUUGUACCAACGUGAUGCUGACGAAAUGGUUUCCUACAGCCCGUCUUGAAACACGGACCAA
rnacentral:rRNA from 1 species